rnacentral:rRNA from 1 species
AGUGAACGCUGGCGGUAGGCCUAACACAUGCAAGUCGAACGGCAGCACAGUAAGAGCUUGCUCUUACGGGUGGCGAGUGGCGGACGGGUGAGGAAUACAUCGGAAUCUACUUUUUCGUGGGGGAUAACGUAGGGAAACUUACGCUAAUACCGCAUACGACCUACGGGUGAAAGCAGGGGAUCUUCGGACCUUGCGCGAUUGAAUGAGCCGAUGUCGGAUUAGCUAGUUGGCGGGGUAAAGGCCCACCAAGGCGACGAUCCGUAGCUGGUCUGAGAGGAUGAUCUGCCACACUGGAACUGAGACACGGUCCAGACUCCUACGGGAGGCAGCAGUGGGGAAUAUUGGACAAUGGGCGCAAGCCUGAUCCAGCCAUACCGCGUGGGUGAAGAAGGCCUUCGGGUGGUAAAGCCCUUUUGUUGGGAAAGAAAAGCAGCAGGUUAAUACCCCGCUGUUCUGACGGUACCCAAAGAAUAAGCACCGGCUAACUUCGUG